rnacentral:rRNA from 1 species
UAGGGAAUCUUCCGCAAUGGACGAAAGUCUGACGGAGCAACGCCGCGUGAGUGAAGAAGGAUUUCGGUUCGUAAAACUCUGUUGUUAGGGAAGAAAAAAUGUAUAGUAACUAUAUACAAAAGAGACGGUACCUAACCAGAAAGCCACGGCUAACUACGUGCCAGCAGCCGCGGUAAUACGUAGGUGGCAAGCGUUGUCCGGAAUUAUUGGGCGUAAAGCGCGCGCAGGUGGUUUAGAAAGUCUGAUGUGAAAGCCCACGGCUCAACCGUUGAGGGUCAUUGGAAACUAAUAAACUUGAGUGCAGGAGAGAAAAGUGGAAUUCCUAGUGUAGCGGUGAAAUGCGUAGAGAUUAGGAGGAACACCGGUGGCGAAAGCGGCUUUUUGGCCUGCAACUGACACUGAGGCGCGAAAGCGUGGGGAGCAAACAGG